GGGGAAUAUUGCACAAUGGACGAAAGUCUGAUGCAGCAACGCCGCGUGGAGGAUGACACAUUUCGGUGCGUAAACUCCUUUUAUAUAAGAAGAUAAUGACGGUAUUAUAUGAAUAAGCACCGGCUAACUCCGUGCCAGCAGCCGCGGUAAUACGGAGGGUGCAAGCGUUACUCGGAAUCACUGGGCGUAAAGAGCGUGUAGGCGGAUUGAUAAGUUUGAAGUGAAAUCCUAUAGCUUAACUAUAGAACUGCUUUGAAAACUGUUAAUCUAGAAUGUGGGAGAGGUAGAUGGAAUUUCUGGUGUAGGGGUAAAAUCCGUAGAGAUCAGAAGGAAUACCGAUUGCGAAGGCGAUCUACUGGAACAAUAUUGACGCUGAGACGCGAAAGCGUGGGGAGCAAAC
rnacentral:rRNA from 1 species